CUUAGUAAGAAUUCUUGUGGUUCCAAAGUAUCAACUAUGGGAGAGCCUGGAAAAUAGAGCUUUCCUUUUUUGGUAGAGGUACAGGUAUGUUCAAGGUCCAAUAUAAGCUCCUGUCGUGGGAAAAGCAAAAACAGUUUGAAAUGGAGAACAGUUGGGAAGUGAUGAAACCAAGAAGAUUGAAGAGAAAAACUAUAGGAAGGUUGGGUUCACCUUACUAAGUGAAACAGAGACAUGGAUGGAAUGAAUGCAAAUUUCAAGAAAAUAAUGCUACCGAAAGGCCAUGGGAACAGAAAUUUGAAGUAAGAAAAGAUAAUGGCAAGAAAUACAGAAAUUUAGGGAAGAAGAGAUUAGGUGUAUGGGAAAGAUGUAGCAAGAAAUUAGUUGGUUGGGCCCUUGGAAUAUUCCAAGAGGCGCAAAUAUGUCUUCAUGAGCAAAAAGAAGAAAACUAUGUUCUAACGCAUAAAAGAUAAUCAUGAGACAAUUUUUCUCAACUUGGGAAUUUUCAUCUUUAGAAUAUGUGAAUUUUAUAGAGGGAGGUGGUGGCUGGUGGCUGUCUAGCCUAAUUUGGUAUAUGUGUAAAUUGGAUUGCAAGAAAUUCUCAUAUGAAGGCAUUCCUAAUAUACUUGUGCAAGACUAUAUUUAUAAAUUGAAUUGCAAGAAAUUCCCUAAA